rnacentral:rRNA from 1 species
AUUGAACGCUGGCGGCAGGCCUAACACAUGCAAGUCGAACGAGUGGCGGACGGGUGAGUAAUGUCUGGGAAACUGCCCGAUGGAGGGGGAUAACUACUGGAAACGGUAGCUAAUACCGCAUACCAUCAGCUGUGCCCAGAUGGGAUUAGCUUGUUGGUGGGGUAACGGCUCACCAAGGCGACAAUCCCGAGCUGGUCUGAGAGGAUGACCAACCUCACUGGAACUGAGACACGGUCCCGACUCCUACGGGGGGCAGCAGUGGGGAAGUUUGCACAAUGAGCGCAAGCGUGAUGCAACCAUGCCGCGUGUGUAAAGAAGGCCUUCGGGUUGUAAAGUACUUUCAGCAGGGAGGCGUUACACGCAGAAGAAGCACCGGCUAACUCCGUGCCAGCAGCCGCGGUAAUAC